rnacentral:rRNA from 1 species
AGCGAACGCUGGCGGCAGGCUUAACACAUGCAAGUCGAACGCCCCGCAAGGGGAGUGGCAGACGGGUGAGUAACACGUGGGAACGUACCCUUUGGUUCGGAAUAACUUGGGGAAACUCAAGCUAAUACCGGAUAAGCCCUUAUGGGGAAAGGUUUACUGCCGAAGGAUCGGCCCGCGUCGGAUUAGCUAGUUGGUGAGGUAAUGGCUCACCAAGGCGACGAUCAGUAGAUGGUCUGAGAGGAUGGUCAGCCACACUGGGACUGAGACACGGCCCAGACUCCUACGGGAGGCAGCAGUGGGGAAUAUUGGACAAUGGGGGCAACCCUGAUCCAGCCAUGCCGCGUGAGUGAUGAAGGCCUUAGGGUUGUAAAGCUCUUUUACCCGGGACGAUAAUGACUGUACCGGGAGAAUAAGCCCCGGCUAACUUCGUGCCAGCCGCCGCCGUAA